rnacentral:rRNA from 1 species
GGUUGCGAUCAUACCAGCACCAAUGCACCGGAUCCUAUCAGAACUCCGCAGUGAAGCGUGCUUUGGUGAGAUUUGUACUAGGAUGGGUGACCCCCUGGGAAGUCCUCGUGUUGGCCACCC